rnacentral:misc_RNA from 1 species
GAUGAAGAACGUAGCGAAAUGCGAUACGUAAUGUGAAUUGCAAAUUCAGUGAAUCAUCGAGUCUUUGAACGCACAUUGCGCCCCCUGGUAUUCCGGGGGGCAUGCCUGUCCGAGCGUCAUUGCUGCCCUCAAGCACGGCUUGUGUGUUGGGCCCCGUCCUCCGAUCCCGGGGGACGGGCCUGAAAGGCAGCGGCGGCACCGCGUCCGGUCCUCGAGCGUAUGGGGCUUUGUCACCCGCUCUGUAGGCCCGGCCGGCGCUUGCCGAUCAACCCAAAUUUUUAUCCAGGUUGACCUCGGAUCAGGUAGGGAUACCCGCUGAACUUAAGCAUAUCAAUAAGCGGAGGA